rnacentral:rRNA from 1 species
GAUGAACGCUAGCGACAGGCCUAACACAUGCAAGUCGAGGGGCAGCAUAAAGGUAGCAAUACUUUGGUGGCGACCGGCGCACGGGUGAGUAACACGUAUGCAACCUACCUGUAAGAGGGGAAUAACCCGGAGAAAUUCGGACUAAUACCGCAUAAUACCACGAAGCUGCAUGGCUUUGUGUUUAAACAUUUAUGGCUUACAGAUGGGCAUGCGUAUGAUUAGAUAGUUGGUAGGGUAACGGCCUACCAAGUCAACGAUCAUUAGGGGUUCUGAGAGGAAGGUCACCCACACUGGUACUGAGACACGGACCAGACUCCUACGGGAGGCAGCAGUGAGGAAUAUUGGUCAAUGGGCGAGAGCCUGAACCAGCCAAGUCGCGUGAAGGAAGAAGGUUCUAUGGAUUGUAAACUUCUUUUGUAAGGGAAUAAAAAGAGUUACGUGUAACUUAUUGUAUGUACUUUACGAAUAAGGAUCGGCUAACUCCGUGCCAGCCGCCGCAGUAAAAC